rnacentral:rRNA from 1 species
CGCCGCUCCAAAGCCUUCCUUGAAAAUCAGAUCCUAGAGCUGGAUUGUACUGCGGACUCUAUUGGGCUCUCGGAUGAUGGUUGGGCUGUUUGCUAUAAUCUGGAGGCCACUCUUCUGCAGCUGCAUCAUCAGGCUGAGAUUUACUGGCGUCAGAGGGCCACCCUUAAUUGGACUCUCAAAGGAGACGCUCCUACUGCUUAUUUCUUUGCGAUUGCAAACGGUAGGCGUAGGCGUUGUGAGAUUAAUAGCCUAUUGAUUAAUGGUAUAUGCUCUACAGACCAAUCUAUGAUUAUGGCUCACGUGGUGGACUUCUUUUCGUCUCUGUUAAGGGCUAAACCUCCAUCGGGCCUGUCCAUCUCCCCCCACCUCUGGAGUUCUGGUCUUAAAAUUUCUCCUGAGGAGAAUGCUUCCUUGAUGAUUCCGCUCUCCGAUCAGGAAAUCUGGGAUGUGGUUAAUUCUGCCAAUACUAAUGCUGCUUCCGGGCCUGAUGGCUUCUCCAUCCCUUUCUUUCGGAAAUUUUGGCCCCAGUUGAAACAGUUGGUGUGUAACGUUAUUCAGGGUUUUUGUCUUGGUACUGUCGACAUCUCUCGCCUGAACUAUGCUGUUAUAUCCCUGAUCCCUAAGGUAAAGGGUGCUGAUGUCAUUUCCCAAUUCCGGCCUAUAGCGUUGAUUAACAACUUUGCCAAGUUCCCUUCCAAAGGAUUUGCGAACCGGCUGUCUCCGAUAGCUCACAGAGUUAUUAGUCCCUUCCAAUCUGCUUUUAUCAAAGGGCGCUUUAUUUUAGAUGGUAUUCUCUCCCUUCAUGAGAUAGUUCAUGACCUCCAUGUGCGGAAAUCCAAAGCUAUUAUUCUCAAACUAGACUUCGAAAAAGCGUAUGACUCGGUUAGCUGGCCUUUUCUCAGGCAGAUUCUUCUUGCCAAAGGGUUCGACGAUGCCUAUGUUCAC